CAGUUUAUGAUUAAAGGUUACGGUAAGAGAUGAGCAUGCGUCCUAUUAGCUAGAUGGUAAGGUAACGGCUUACCAUGGCUACGAUAGGUAGGGGUCCUGAGAGGGAGAUCCCCCACACUGGUACUGAGACACGGACCAGACUCCUACGGGAGGCAGCAGUGAGGAAUAUUGGACAAUGGGCGAGAGCCUGAUCCAGCCAUGCCGCGUGCAGGAAGACGGCCCUAUGGGUUGUAAACUGCUUUUACAGAGGAAGAACCCUCCUUACGUGUAAGGAGCUGACGGUACUCUAUGAAUAAGGAUCGGCUAACUCCGUGCCAGCAGCCGCGGUAAUACGGAGGAUCCAAGCGUUAUCCGGAAUCAUUGGGUUUAAAGGGUCCGUAGGCGGGUCUAUAAGUCAGUGGUGAAAGUCUGCAGCUUAACUGUAGAACUGCCAUUGAUACUGUAGACCUUGAAUUAGUAUGAAGUGGUUAGAAUGUGUAGUGUAGCGGUGAAAUGCAUAGAUAUUACACAGAAUACCGAUUGCGAAGGCAGAUCACUAAUACUAUAUUGACGCUGAUGGA
rnacentral:rRNA from 1 species